UCCCUGGUGCUCAGAUGGUAAAGCAUCUGCUUGCAAUGCAGGAGACCCAGGUUCAAUCCCUGGGUUGGGAA
rnacentral:tRNA from 1 species